ACUGAGAAGUCGUCCGUGCAAAUCGAACCAUUUUGAUACCCAACAGCUAGCCUUACACCAUAAAUUAAACAAUUAC
rnacentral:tRNA from 1 species